GGGUUUACCGAUCGAAUCUCCUAUCGUUUUAGAUCAUCCACUGGAGGGACUCGACAUUGACAUAUCAUCGAUCGAGGGUUAUCUCCGGACACCUUCCCCGGAAGUUCAGGAUGAGCGACUCUGGUUACUUGCUGAUAUCCCGAGCUCGAC